CCAUGUGGGGUUAAGUCUUUAUUUAUUGAUGUAUAUGAUAACGCAUGGGUGGUAUCUAUCCAGCACUUCACUCGUGUGCGCUAUCUAUCAAUGGCGGCUUGGCCCUCUAGUUCGAGUACUAUCAUCAUUAAUGGCGUGUUGAUGAAUUAUGACUCUCUUUUUCUCAAUAAAUUAACUUCAACUUUAAGUGCGGUGGGGGUUGUCUUGUCAUCCCACAAGGGUGUUGAACUAAUAUCAAAGAAUGUGGGAGACAAACAACAAACAUUUCAAUGCUACCAACAGUUGACAAAACGUCUUUAUUUCCUCAUUGUAGGGUCACACCUUCCCCUCUUCACUAUAUUUAUACCCUCACUCUUCCCUCACCUCUUCACCACCACACUUCUUUCUCUCCCUUCUUCAUAA